rnacentral:rRNA from 1 species
GACGAACGCUGGCGGCGUGCUUAACACAUGCAAGUCGAACGGAAAGGCCUGCUUUCCCUUGUGGUUUGCGGGUACUCGAGUGGCGAACGGGUGAGUAACACGUGAGUGAUCUGCCCCCAACUUGGGUAUAAGCCUGGGAAACUGGGUCUAAUUCCCGAUAGGACUGCAGGGUGGUGCCUGUGGUGGAAAACGAUUUUCUAGUGGUUGGGGAUGAGCUCGCGGCCUAUCAGCUUGUUGGUGGGGUAAUGGCCUACCAAGGCGGAGACGGGUAGCCGGACUGAGAGGGUGGACGGCCACAUUGGGACUGAGAUACGGCCCAGACGCGUACGGGAGGCAGCAGUGGGGAAGAUUGCACAAUGGGCGGAAGCCUGAUGCAGCGACGCCGCGUGGGGGAUGACGGCCUUCGGGUUGUAAACUCCUUUCGACCGCGAGGAAGCCACCUGGUUGGAAGGGUGGUGACGGUAGUGGUAGAAGAAGCACCGGCUAACUACGUG